rnacentral:lncRNA from 1 species
UAAUCCUAUCAGUCUAUACAGCAUAUAAAACCUAUAAUAGAUCUUUCGGUUAGUCAUAACAUAUAGUUAAGUAUUAGACAUUAGGUUUAAGUCUUAAUAUUAUUAUUAUACUUUGAUAUUCUUUUAAUCACAUCAUAACUUGUACUUAUAAGUUAUUCAUUUUUAUAUGUUAUCCUAGUAAAUUAGAUAACAUCUUAGUAAACCGAAAUACCAUUUCAGUAAGACGGAUUUCAUUUCAGUAUCCUGAAAUCAAUAUUCUUUUUCACGAAAAAUACCAAAUCAACUUAUUAUUUUUCUAUCCUUUGGUCAAACACAUAUACAUAUAUUUCAUACACAAAAAUUAUUUUUCCAUAAUUUUCCAAGUUCCUUUAGUAUUUUUCAAAAAAAUCAUUUCUAGUUAAUUCCUUAAGAAAUUAGCUACCUUGUGCUUAACUCCAGAAAUUCCCAUCUUCUGACACAAUCUUACACAUGUUAACGUGACACUCCAGUUUAUAUUUCGUGGCAAUCGGAGUUGUAGAACUCCGGUUAUAGCCAUUUUCGUCGAAAAAUCACAAAAAUUGAAAUGGUCAUAAUUCGGUCAUUUUAAGUCGGAAUUAGCUCAUUUUUGGACAUGAGGUACUUAAUACCAUAUUUUUUCAUUUCCCAAAAUGCCGGAAUUUAUUUCAUAGUUUACGUGGCCAAAACAGCCCUCGUAAAAAUCUGGGCAGCAACUUUUUGGCCAAAAACAGUUUUGGGGUCCUUCACCGUAAAAUCCAUAUCUCUCAAACCGUAAGGCCAAAAAUUCUCAAAUUUUUACACAACCUGCAUAUCUACUGAUAUUAACACCCCAAAUGUUUCCAGAAUUUAUAAAGCAAAAAAAGGGUAUGAAAAUGCCCCUGCUACGGACUGAUCCAAAACAGUUCCUAGAAACGGGACUGUUUUCACAUAAAUCAACACCACGACUUUUAGAAACGUGAUUUUUGAGUUCUACCACUUGGGUUAACUAGUAAACACAUAUAUCUAGCACUACUCUUAGACAGAUCGAGAAAAGAAUGUCUAGAUCAAAAACGGUAAACAUUCAAAACACCUAAAAGUUAGGGUUUUCAAAACUAGAAAAAAUAUUUUUCUUUUCUUUUUGAUUCAAACCAAAUCAACACCCAUUAUGGGUAGAUCCAUACUUGAAAUCAUAUAAAUCACAUAGAUCUUAGGGUUUGAACUACCAAAUCAAAAACCCCUAAAUCAAAUCCAUAAACUAAAAUAGAGAAAAACUUAGGAAAAGUAUUUUUAUACCUUUGCUUUUCUUUCUCUCCUUCAAAGAUGUGAUAUGGGUCUUGGGUUUAUGAAAGUUAAAAUCCCCUCUCCCCCUUCUCUUGGAGCUGCCGAAAUGGCCUCCCUCUCUCUCUCUCUCUCUCUAGUUCUUUGCUAACUUGGAAGAAUAAAAGAGAUGAAAGAGAAAUGAGAUAAUUUUUUUUUUUAUCAAUUAUCCAACCCACUCUCUUUUUCUCUCAUACUCAACCGGCCAUGUGCCUUUCUUCUCUACAUUCUCCACUCAUUCUCUCUCUUAGUAAUCAUUGCAUACAUGUGUGGGAGAUUGAAAGCAAAGUGGCUCCUUAAAAUGGAUGACACCUAGCUAAGUUAUGAAAAAUCUUAUGGAACAUGUGGUGAUUAUAAUGGUGAUGUGUAACCCACCACUUCCUCUCCUUUUCUCCCACAAAAAUUCGGCCAAGUGGCCCAUUAUUUCACCAAGUCUUGCUUCCUUUUUAAUGAAUAUCUAGUGUCUCCAAAGACUAAAAUGCCCCUCCUUACUUGGAUCAAAUUUUGGGCUUUUUUAAAUAAUGUUUGGGCCACCAUAUUUAAUCCCUUUGGACUUUAAGUUGGGCUUGCAAAAUUAAUCUAUUGGACAUAAAGAAUUUAAUUCUUUGGGCCAUGUAAAUCAAUCAUAGUCCAACAAUCUUAAUAAUACCAAAUGUCCAUCAUGCCCUUCCUUCAAUUGGGCUCAAAAUUGGGCCAUCACUUAUAAUCUUUUGGGCUUUCC